GGAGAGGUGUCCGAGUGGUCGAAGGAGCAUGACUGGAAAUCAUGUGUACGGGAAACUGUACCGAGGGUUCGAAUCCCUCUCUCUCCGCCA
rnacentral:tRNA from 1 species